GAAUUGGUUACUUGCAAUGUUAUUUACAAUAUGUAAUUGGUUUGAAUAGAUUUGGGCCACUCGGAGUUGGAUACUUGUGGCGAGGGCAUCGUUUCUUAGUGAUUUUUGUACCGGUUCGAGGUAAGUGGCUUGUUUAACUUUGUGUGGGGGACCUCUCCCCUUAGGAUAUCUUGAUUGUUGUUUAAAUGCCUUGUGCGCGAGGUGACGAGCGUGCACUUGUGCUAAUUGUUGAAAAUUCACCUUACUUGACUUAUUUAGGCUGUGUUUCUUCACGUAUUUAACUAUUAAAAAUGCAAUUUCACUUGUUUUAGCUUAGGCAAAGCAUGUUAGUAACUUAUUUGCUCAAUUUGACUAAAUUGCAAUGUCUGUCUUUUCGUGAAGCAUGCUAGACUCUAGAUUCUACCUGUUGUCUGUUCUUAGCUUCUUUUGUUCAAUAUUGAAUUGUUGUGAUGUGUUUAUGAUUGGGUCUACGGGACGGCAUCCCUGGAGUUCCCUUGUACGUAUUAUGUUCUGAGAUUGGAAGUGCGGGAUACUAAGUGAUCUCCGGCACAGGAUUGAUUAAAUGGAGGAUACUAGGAGAUCCUCGGGAUACUUGGAGAUCCCUCGUGAUUAAAUGGAGGAUACUAGGAAAUCCUCGGGAUACUUGGAGAUCCCUUGUGUAUAUGAUGAGGAUACCAGGAGAUCCUCGGGAUACCAGGAGAUCCCCUAUGAUAAAUAGCCUGUAGUGAUUAUUCUUGUAUUCCUAGAUUGUAUUUGCAGCCUGUUUCCGUUCUACUUAUUAUUUUUGCUAGAUACUCGAGAUUUACUGUACUCCUACUAUCUAUUCAUUUCAUAUUUAUUUUUAUGUUUAUCUCAGUAGGACCUCGACCUUCCUCGUCACUACCCAACCGAGGUUAGGCUUGGCGCUUACUGAGUACCACUGUGGUGUACUCACGCCUUUUCUGCGCAUGUUUUUCAUGUGCAGAUCCAGGUACUUCUGAGCAGGCGUACCGCUAGUAGCUGUUAGGGAGCAUAUUGGAGACUUGAGGUAUACAUCUGCUACGUCCGCAGAUCCGCAAAGUCUCCUUCUCAUUAUAUCCAUAGAUAUUAGCUGUCAUUUCGAUCCCUUUUGUGUUAGACUACUCUGGUGACUAGAGCAGUGUAUCAUUUCUUAUGGCAUGUGUUGCCCGUGGGUUUCCGGGUCUUGGUGGUUAUUCAGUAUUCUGUAUUAAAGUGUAUGUGCCAGGAGGCAAACCGAUACAUUUCCUUUAUGUUAUUCGGCAUUCUACUAUUGUUUUUCGUGAAAAGUGUUAAUUUCGCAAUGUGUUAGGCUUACCUAGUCGCGAAGACUAGGUACCGUUACGACCGGUUCACAAUUGGUGAACUAGGGUCGUGACAAGUUGGUAUCAGAGCUCUAGGUUCAUAGGAGUCAUGGAACACAUGUCGGUUUAUUAUAAUCUCACUGAUCGGUACGGAGACGUAUGUACUUAUCUACGGGAGGCUAUGUAACUGUUUAGGAAAAAUCUUCACUUCAUUGAAUUCUUUGUCGUGCUAUAUUUUUGACAUCGACUCUAAACUUAUGUCUUCUAUUCUCUCACAGAUGGUGAGGACACGCACGACCCAGGACGAUCAGGCACCCGCACCCCCUCCUGUAGCCGCUAGAGGUAGGGGCCGGGGCAGGGGUCGUGGACGUGCGCGGGGUGCAGCCAGAGCACCUGCGUGAGCCGCCACCGAGGUACCACCAGCGGAUCUAGCCAAGACUCAGGCACCUAACACGCCCACAGUCACCACUACUCCAGCUGUUCAGGAGGUAUUGGCAUAGUUUAUAAGCAUGUAUACUACGCUGUCACAGGCAGGGUUACUUCCCCUUCCUACAGCCACGUCCCAGGCUGGGGGAGGAGCCCAGACUCCCGCAACCCGCACUCCAGAGCAGAAGGUGCAUAUGGGACAAAUUCCAGAUAUUAUCCCUGUCCAGCCUGCGGUACCAGUUCAGCCCGAGUAUGGGGCACCUGCUUCUGAGGAUGAGCAGCGUAGACUGGAGAGGUUCAAGAAGUAUGACCCUCCUAUUUUCAGCGGACUAGCUACAGAUGAUGCUUUGGGGUUUCUGGAGGAUUGUCACCGCAUCUUUCGCACCAUGGGUAUUACUGCCUCGAGCGGGGUUUCUUUCGCAACUUUCUAGCUUCGGGGAGCCGCCUAUGACUGGUGGCGCACCUUUGAGUUAGACAGUCCGGACGAGGAUGCCUCCCUAACUUGGACUCAGUUUUCAGAUAUGUUUCAGAGGGAGUUUGUUCCCCACAACCUCCGAGAUGCAUGGUGUGCGGAGUUUGAGCAUUUGCGCCAGGGCCCUAUGACUGUCUCUGAGUAUGCCAUCCGUUAUACUAGGUUGGCCAGGCAUGCGCCGGCUUUGGUGGCUACUGUUCGUGAGAGGGUUCGCCAGUUUAUUGAGGGUCUUAUUCCUUCCAUCAGGUUUGGCAUGGCUCGAGAGUUGGAGAUGGAUAUACCCUAUCAGCAGGUAGUGAGCAUAGCCAGGAGGAUAGAGAGUAUGCAUGCCAGAGAGCGAGAGGAGAGAGAGGCCAAGAGGUCUCGAGAGUCGGCUCAUUACUCUGGUACCCGCACAUCAACAUCAGGACGUCAUGGUAGGGGCUAUACGGGUCGCCCCGUUCACUCAGCUCUUCUUUCAUCCAGCAGUACUCCAGCUCCUCCCAGAUUUCAGGAGCCUUAUUAUGCACCUUCAAUUUCAAGUGUGGCUCCUACGCGGGGUACUUCCAAAGGUCAGUCUAAAAGGGGUGGGUCCAGUCAGUCAUAGCCACCACGCCCUCCCAUAGCUUGUUAUGAGUGCAGGGAUACCCGCCAUGUGGUGAGGGAUUGCCCUAGGCUUGGAAGAAGUGCACCUCCACAGCAUUCUUAGCAGCAGCAUACACAGUGGGAUUCUCAGGCCAUCGUUCCAGCUCUAGCUGCCACCCCACCUACCCAUCCAGCCAGGGGCGGAGAUCGGGGAGAUAAGGGUCACCCUCGAGGAAGGGGCCGGGCCAGAUUUUAUGCCAUUCCUGAUCGUGUUGAGGUUGUCGCCUCCGAUUCUAUUAUCACAAGUAUUAUAUUGGUUAGUCACAAAGAGGCAUCAGUUCUAUUCGAUUCAGGCUCUACUUAUUGUUACAUAUCAUCUUAUUUUGCUCCGCAUUUGGGUACAUCCCGAGAGACCUUGAGCUCUCCAGUUUAUGUUUCUACUCCCGUGGGAGAUUCCCUUGUUGUGGACCGCGUAUAUCUGUCAUGUUUGGUUAUUAUUCGUGGUUUUGAGACCAGGGCAGAUCUUCUAUUACUUGAUAUGGUUUAUUUCGAUAUUAUCUUGGGCAUGGACUGGUUGUCGCCCUAGUAUGCUAUUCUUGAUUGUCACGCUAAAACCGUGAUACUGGCUAUGCCAGGUAUUCCACAUAUUGAGUGGAGUGGUACUUUUGAUCACACUCCCAGUAGAGUUAUAUCCUUUCUUAAAGCUCAGCGUAUGGUUGAGAAGGGGUGCGCCGCGUAUUUAGCUUAUGUGAGAGAUGUCAGUGCUGAUACCUCUUCUGUUGACUCUGUCCCGGUAGUACGGAAUUUCCCAGAUGUGUUUACAGUUGAUCUUUUGGGCAUGCCGUCCGAUCGGGACAUUGAUUUUGGUAUUGAUUUUUUGUCGGGCACUUAGCCCAUAUCCAUUCCUCCUUACCGUAUGGCUCCUCCUGAGUUGAAGGAGUUGAAGGAUCAGUUACAAGAAUUGCUUGAUAAGGGUUUUAUUCGACCCAGUGUUUCACCGUGGGGUGCUCCUGUCUUGUUCAUAAAGAAAAUGGUGGUUCUAUGCGCAUGUGUAUCGAUUAUCGUCAGUUGAACAAGGUUACAGUGAAGAACCGAUAUCCUUUGCCUCGUAUCGAUGAUCUAUUUGACCAGCUUCAGGGCGCACAGGUGUUUUCUAAGAUUGAUUUGUGCUCAAGUUAUAACCAGCUAAAGAUUCAGGAGCCGGAUAUCCCGAAAACUGCUUUCAGGACUUGGUAUGGUCAUUACGAGUUCCUUGUCAUGUUAUUUGGGCUGACCAACGCCCCAGCAGCUUUUAUGCAUUUGAUGCACAGUGUAUUCAGGCUCUAUCUCGACUCAUUUGUCAUUGUUUUCAUAGAUGAUAUUCUUGUAUACUCCCGGAGUCGGGAAGAUCAUGAGUAGCACCUGAGGACAGUGCUUCAGACCCUGAGGGAAAAGACAUUAUAUGCAAAGUUCUCAAAGUGUGAGUUUUGGUUGAGUUCUGUGGCAUUCCUAGGCCACGUGGUAUCGAGUGAGGGCAUUCGGGUGGAUCCGAAGAAGGUGGAGGUCGUGCAGAGUUGGCCCAGGCCCUCCUCAGCUACAGAGAUCCGCAGUUUCCUUGGCUUGGCGGGGUAUUACCAUCGUUUUGUGGAGGGGUUCUCAUCGAUUGCAGCCCCUAUGACUAGAUUGGCCCAGAAGGGUGCUCCUUUUCAGUGGUCAGACGAGUGUGAGGCGAGCUUCCAAAAGCUCAAGAAGGCUUUGACUUCAGCCCCUAUUCUGAUUUUCCCUACUGGUUCGGGGUCCUAUACAGUUUAUUGUGAUGCUUCACGAGUUGGACUUGGAGCGGUGUUGAUGCAGGACGGUAAGGUGAUUGCCUACGCGUCCAGACAGUUGAAGGUACAUGAAAAUAACUAUCCUGUCCAUGACCUUGAGUUAGCUGCUAUUGUUCAUGCCUUGAAGAUCUGGCGUCAUUAUUUGUACGAUGUGCCUUGUGAGAUUUAUACGGAUCAUCGGAGUUUACAGCACUUGUUCAAGAAAAAGGAUCUGAACUUGCGCCAGAGGAGAUGGUUGGAGCUACUGAAGGAUUAUGAUAUCACUAUUCUUUAUCACCCGGGCAAGGCCAAUGUGGUAGCCGAUGCCUUGAGUCACCGGACGGAGCACCAGAGACCGGGAGGGUUACUCCAGCAGAUGGAGAUUCCGGAGUGGAAAUGGGAGAAGAUCACUAUGGAUUUUGUAACUGGUCUCCCUCUAAUGGCGAAGAAAUUUGAUUCUAUUUGGGUUGUUAUGGAUCGGCUGACCAAGUCCGCUCAUUUCAUUCCAGUGUGUACUUCUUACUCAGCGGAGCGGUUAGCGGGGAUUUAUAUCAGGGAGAUUGUCCGUCUACAUGGCAUUCCAGUUUCUAUCAUCUCAGACGGGGGUUCAGUGUUUACAUCACGGUUCUGGAGAGCCGUCCAGCACGAGUUAGGUACACGGGUGACUAUGAGUACAGCUUUUCACCCUCGGACGGAAGGACAGUCCGAGCAUACUAUUCAGAUUCUUGAGGAUAUGCUCCGUGCGUGUGUGAUUGAGUUUAGAGGGUCUUGGGAUCAGUUCUUGCCAUUGGCUGAGUUUGCGUACAACAACAGUUAUCAGUCCAGUAUUCAGAUGGCGUCGUAUGAGGCCUUAUAUGGCAGGAGAGGCAGAUCCCCGGUGGGUUGGUUCGAGCCGGGUGAGGCCAGGCUAUUGGGCACUGAUUUGGUCCAGGAUGCGGUCGAGAAGGUUAAGGUGAUUCAGGAUAGACUCCGUACGGCCCAGUCCAGACAAAAGAGUUACGCGGACCGAAAGGUUCGUGAUGUUUCAUUUAUGGUUGGUGAGUGGGUUUUGCUUCGGGUCUCACCUAUGAAAGGCGUCAUGAGGUUUGGAAAGAAAGGGAAGUUAAGCCCGAGGUUCAUUAGCCCAUUUGAUAUUUUGAAGCGUGUUGGGGAGGUUGAUUAUGAGCUUGCGUUACCUCCCAGUUUGGCCGAGGUUCAUCCGGUAUUUCAUGUCUCGAUGCUUCGGAGGUAUCACGGUGACCCGUCUCAUGUGUUAUAGUUCACUUCAGUCCAGUUGGACAAUGACUUGUCCUAUGUUGAGGAACCAGUGGAAAUAUUAGACAGGCAGGUCCGAAAGCUCAGGUCAAAGGAUAUAGCUUCAGUAAAGGUUCAGUGGCGGGGUCAGCCGGCCAAGGAGGCGACUUGGGAGACCGAGCGAGAUAUGCGCAGCCGAUACCCUCGUCUUUUUGCUACUUCAGGUAUGUUCUCUAUGCUCGUUCGAGGACGAAUGAAUGUUUAAGUGUAGGAGGAUGUGACGACCCGGUCAGUCGUCUUUGGAAUUUAUGCCCCGUUCCCCCAUUAACUGCUUCCCACUAAGUUCAUUUCUGCUAUUUUGGUUUGUCAGAACGUUCGGUGUGAGAAUUCGGAGUGUUUUGGGACACUUAGUCCCUAAACGAGAGCUUAAGUGUUGGAAAGUGGUCCGUAACCGGAACAGUGUGAAGACGACCUCGGAAUGGAAAUUCGAUGGUUCCGUUAGCUCUGUUAGGUGAUUUCGGGGUCGGGAGCGUGUUCGGGAUGUAUUUUGGAUGUCCGUAGCUCAUUUAGGCUAGAAAUGUCAAAAGUUAGAAUUUGGAGGUUUCUGGUCCGAUAGUGAAGUUAUGAUCCGAUGGUCGGAACGGGAUUCCGGAAGUUGUUGUAGCACCGUCAUGUCAUUUGGGACGUGCGUGCAAAGUUUCAGGUCAAUCGGACGAGUGUUGAUGAGGUUUUGGAUCGAAAGCGUGUUUUGGAUGAACUUGAAUGUUCUUAGGCUUGAAUCUUUGAUUUAAUCGAGGUUUCGGUGUUUUUUUAGGUGUCUUAAGAAUUGGUACAAGUUUGGAUGAUGUUAUUAGUUAUGUCCGUGGGUUUGGUUGAGGUCUCGGGGGCCUCGGGAUGAUUUCGGGUGGUUAACGGAGGAAAAUUUGAUGUAUUGCAGCAGUUGAUAUUUCUCUCUGGUAUUUUCACUUUUGCGGCUUGGAACCCGCAGAAACUGCUUUCUCAUCGCAUAAGCGUUUCCAGGCUUUUUCCCAGGAACCGCAGAAGCGGUCCCUUUUUUCGCAUAAGCGGCACCGCAGAAGCGGGAUUGGCACCGCAAAAGCGGACUCAGGUCCCUUAAGUGAAAACCGCAGGAGCAGCCCUUGUUUCACAGAAGCGAGACCGCAGAAGCGGUCCCUUAUCCGCAAAAGCGGAAAUGACUGUUCAGAAAUAGUAAAAUCGAGGGUUAAGUUUCAAAAGUUGGAAAAUCAAUUGAGAGCUUGGGAGAUGGCGAUUUUGAGUGGGUUUUGAAGAGAAGAUCAUUGGGUAACGUUGCUUUGACCCCUUCUAGUUAUAUAUCAUCAUUAUUUAGUUAAUUAUACCAUUAAAAUUCGAAUUGAGGACCAAAAAUUGGAUAAUUUGGGUAAACCUUUUUUGGCUAAACUAUUGAGUUUUGAAGGGGCAUUUGACCUCUGAUUUGGGAGAUUUUUAUAUGGUUAGACUCAUGAGAGUACGAGAUUUUUGAAAAUGUGAAAAUUAUUCGAUUCCGAGACGUUGUCCUGAGGGGCGUUUUGGUCAUUUUACCUAUUUUCGCGUCUUAGCUUUAAUUUUAAUAGUGGAAUUGGUUACUUGCGAUGUUAUUUACAAUAUGUAAUUAGUUUGAAUAAUUACAUAUCUUGACUGCUGUUUAAAUGCCUUGUGCGCGAGGUGACGAGCGUGUACUUGUACUAAUUGUUUAAAAUUCACCUUACUUGACUUAUUUAGGCUGUGUUUCUUCAUGUAUUUAACUGUUAAAAAUGCAAUUUCACUUGUUUUAGCUUAGGGAAAGCAUGUUAGUAACUUAUUUGCUCUAUUUGACUAAAUUGCAAUAUCUGCCUUUUCGUGAAGCAUGCUAGACUCUAGAUUCUACCUGUUGUCUGUUCUUAGCUUCUUUUGUUCAAUAUUGAAUUGAUGUGAUGUGUUUACGAUUGGGUCUACCGGACGGCAUCCCGGCAGCUCCCCUGUACGUAUUAUGUUCUGAGAUUGGAAGUGCGGGAUACUAAGAGAUCUCCGGCACAGGAUUGAUUAAAUGUAGGAUAUUAGGAGAUUCUCGGGAUACUUGGAGAUCCCUUGUGUAUAUGAUGAGGUUACCAGGAGAUCCUCGGGAUACCAGGAGAACCCCGAUGAUAAAUAGCCUGUAGUGAUUGUUCUUGUAUUAGUAGAUUGUAUUUGUAGCCUGUUUCCGUUCUACUUAUUAUUUUUGAUAGAUACUCGAGAUUUACUGUACUCCUACUGUCUAUUCAUUUCAUAUUUAUUUUUAUGUUUAUCUCAGUAGGGCCUCGACCUUCAUCUCACUACCCAAUCGAGGUUAGGCUUGACACUUACUGAGUACCGCUGUGGUGUACUCACGCCUCUUCUGCGCAUGUUUUUCAUGUGCAGAUCCAGGUACUUCUGAGCAGGCGUGCCGCCAGUAGCUUUCAGGGAGCAUAUUGGAGACUUGAGGUAUACAUCUGCUACGUCCGCAGAUCCGCAAAGUCUCCUUCUCAUUCUAUCCAUAGAUAUUAG
rnacentral:lncRNA from 1 species